UACGGGGGGGGUAAGCGUUGUUCGGAAUUACUGGGCGUAAAGGGCUCGUAGGCGGCCAACUAAGUCGGACGUGGAAUCCCUCAGCUUAACUGGGGAACUGCGUCUGAUACUGGAUGGCUUGGAUUUGGGAGAGGGAUGCGGAAUUCCAGGUGUAGCGGUGAAAUGCGUAGAUAUCUGGAGGAACACCGGUGGCGAAGGCGGCAUCCUGGACCAACAUUGACGCUGAGGAGCGAAAGCCAGGGAGCAAACGGG
rnacentral:rRNA from 1 species